rnacentral:rRNA from 2 species
GGGGAAUAUUGCACAAUGGGCGAAAGCCUGAUGCAGCGACGCCGCGUGAGUGAAGAAGGUCUUCGGAUCGUAAAACUCUGUCCUUGGUGACGAAAAAAAAUGACGGUAGCCAAGGAGGAAGCCCCGGCUAACUACGUGCCAGCAGCCGCGGUAAUACGUAGGGGGCGAGCGUUGUCCGGAUUUACUGGGCGUAAAGGGUGCGUAGGCGGCCUUGUAAGUCAGAUGUGAAAGGCUACGGCUCAACCGUAGUAAGCAUUUGAAACUGCAGGGCUUGAGUGCAGGAGAGGAGAGUGGAAUUCCUAGUGUAGCGGUGAAAUGCGUAGAUAUUAGGAGGAACACCAGUGGCGAAGGCGACUCUCUGGACUGUAACUGACGCUGAGGCACGAAAGCGUGGGGAGCAAACA